rnacentral:rRNA from 1 species
CUGCUCCAUGAAUAAAAAAUUUAAAUAGCUGCAGUAAACUGACUGUGCAAAGGUAGCAUAAUAAAUAGUUUUUUAAUUGAAAACUGGUAUGAAAGAUUAGAUAAAAUAUAAACUGUCUCAAAUUUAAAAUUAUAAAUUAAAUUUUAAGUAAAAAUGCUUAAAUAAUUUUAAGGGACGAUAAGACCCUAUAGAUCUUUAUAUAAAAUUAAAUUUAAUGAAUUAAUUGAUUAGGUUAAAAUAAAAUUUUAUAUUUAGUUGGGGUGAUUAAUAAAUUUAGCAAAUUUUAUUAAAAAAAUUUCAUAAAUUAAUGUAUAUAAUAAAUUUAUAUAAAAGUUAUAAAUUAAAAAAGUUACCUUAGGGAUAACAGCGUAAUAAUUCUUUAUAGAUCUUAUAAAAAGAAUUGGUUGCGACCUCGAUGUUGAAUUAAAAUAAAAUAAAAAAGAAGAAUUUUUUUAUUU